rnacentral:rRNA from 1 species
UACAGAGGUCUCAAGCGUUGUUCGGAUUUACUGGGCGUAAAGGGUGCGUAGGUGGUGGGGAAAGUCUGAUGUGAAAUCUCCAAGCUCAACUUGGAAAUGGCAUUGGAAACUACCCUCGCUAGAGGGUUGAAGGGGGGGACUGGAAUGCUCGGUGUAGCAGUGAAAUGCGUAGAUAUCGAGCGGAACACCAGUGGCGAAGGCGAGUCCCUGGACAACUCCUGACACUGAGGCACGAAAGCUAGGGGAGCAAACAGG